AUAUCAAUAAGCGGAGGAAAAGAAACCAACAGGGAUUGCCCCAGUAACGGCGAGUGAAGCGGCAACAGCUCAAAUUUGAAAUCUGGCCUUCGGGUCCGAGUUGUAAUUUGUAGAGGAUGCUUUUGGCGCGGUGCCUUCCGAGUUCCCUGGAACGGGACGCCAUAGAGGGUGAGAGCCCCGUCUGGUUGGACACCAAGCCUCUGUAAAGCUCCUUCGACGAGUCGAGUAGUUUGGGAAUGCUGCUCUAAAUGGGAGGUAUAUGUCUUCUAAAGCUAAAUAUUGGCCAGAGACCGAUAGCGCACAAGUAGAGUGAUCGAAAGAUGAAAAGCACUUUGAAAAGAGAGUUAAAUAGCACGUGAAAUUGUUGAAAGGGAAGCGAUUAUGACCAGACUUGGGCUUGGUUGAUCAUCCGGCGUUCUCGCCGGUGCACUCUUCCGGCCCAGGCCAGCAUCAGUUCGCUGCGGGGGAUAAAGGCGUCGGGAAUGUGGCUCCCUCGGGAGUGUUAUAGCCCUUCGUGCAAUGCCCUGCGGUGGACUGAGGACCGCGCUUUAUGCAAGGAUGCUGGCGUAAUGGUCAUCAUCGACCCGUCUUGAAACACGGACCAAGGAGUCGUCUUCGUAUGCGAGUGUUCGGGUGUCAAACCCCUACGCGUAAUGAAAGUGAACGCAGGUGAGAGCUUCGGCGCAUCACCGACCGAUCCUGAUGUUCUCGGAUGGAUUUGAGUAAGAGCAUACGGAGCCGGACCCGAAAGAAGGUGAACUAUGCCUGUAUAGGGUGAAGCCAGAGGAAACUCUGGUGGAGGCUCGCAGCGGUUCUGACGUGCAAAUCGAUCGUCAAAUAUGGGCAUGGGGGCGAAAGACUAAUCGAACCUUCUAGUAGCUGGUUUCCGC
rnacentral:rRNA from 1 species